rnacentral:rRNA from 1 species
AUGGCGAUGGUGUUGGAUGCUUUUGCAUCCUACAUGGGGGACUACCUCAAGCAGGUGGUACAAGAUGAGAUCGGAACGAUGCUGGGCGUCUCCGGAGAGAUCGACAAGUUGGGAGACAAGCUUCUGGACCUAAAGAACUUCCUUGCGGAUGCUGAUAGCAGGAACAUCACCGACAAGACCGUCCAGGUCUGGGUGGGGCAGCUCAAGCGCGCCAUGUAUGAAGCUGCUGACAUCCUUGACCUCUGCCAGCUCAAGGCGAUGGAGAAGCGUGGGCCAUCCUCUGCAGAAGCAGGGUGUUGCAACCCCUUGCUUUUCUGCAUGAGGAACCCCUUCCAUGCUCGUGAGAUCGGCACCCGCAUCAAGGCGCUCAACCAGAGGCUUGAUUCCAUCAAGCAGCGCAGCGCUACUUCCAACUUCAUCAAUCUUGGGUCAUACGAGGAUUGA